rnacentral:rRNA from 1 species
GCAAAUUUACACCGUAACUUCGGGAGAAGGUGUGCCGCUGGCGGUCAGUAACUUCGCGUUACGAAGCUGUCGGUGGUCGCAGUGAAAUGGCGGUUGUGACUGUUUACUAAAAACACAGGACUCUGCGAAGUCGUAAGACGACGUAUAGGGUCUGAUGCCUGCCCGGUGCUGGAAGGUUAAGGGGAUAUGUCAGCGCAAGCGAAGCAUUGAACCGAAGCCCCAGUAAACGGCGGCCGUAACAAUAACGGUCCUAAGGUAGCGAAAUUCCUUGUCGGGUAAGUUCCGACCUGCACGAGGGCAUAACAACAUCCGCACUGUCUCGACCAGGGACUCAGCGAAAUUACAUUGGGGGUGAAGAUGCCCUCUACCCGCGGAAAGACGGAAAGACCCCAUGAACCUUUACUGCAACUUGGCAGUGAUUUUCGGGUUGUUCUGCGUAGGAUAGGUGGGAGGCUUUGAAGCCGGGCUUCCGGGUUCGGCAGAGCCAACGUUGAAAUACCACCCUGAAUAAUCUGGAAAUCUAACCUGCGCCCAUGAUCUGGGCGAGGGACACUGCCUGGUGGGCAGUUUGACUGGGGCGGUCGCCUCCUAAAUUGUAACGGAGGCGUGCGACGGUUCCCUCAGGCUGAUUGGAAACCAGCCGUAGAGUGCAAACGCAUAAGGGAGCUUUACUGCGAGACUGACAAGUCGAACAGUUGCGAAAGCAGGUGUUAGUGAUCCGGUGGUACCACAUGGAAGGGCCAUCGCUCAUCGGAUAAAAGGUACUCUGGGGAUAACAGGCUGAUCGCGCCUGAGAGUUCACAUCGGCGGCGCGGUUUGGCACCUCGAUGUCGGCUCAUCGCAUCCUGGGGCUGGAGCAGGUCCCAAGGGUUUGGCUGUUCGCCAAUUAAAGCGGUACGCGAGCUGGGUUUAAAACGUCGUGAGACAGUUUGGUCCCUAUCUUCCGUGGGCGCAGGACACUUGAGAGGAGCUAUCCAUAGUACGAGAGGACCUGGAUGGACGAACCUCUGGUGCUCCGGUUGUCACGCCAGUGGCAUAGCCGGGUAGCCAUGUUCGGAACAGAUAACCGCUGAAGGCAUAUAAGCGGGAAGCUGGCCUCAAGACUAGGUGUCCCUGACGCAAGUCACUAAAGGCCCCUCGAAGACUACGAGGUUGAUAGGCUCGGUGUGGAAGCGCUGCGAGGCGCGGAGCUAACGAGUACUAAUAGGCCGUGCGACUUGACCCC